rnacentral:tRNA from 1 species
GCCUGGGUGGCUCAGUCAGUUAAGCGUCUGUCUUCAGCUCAGGUCAUGGUCUUCCGGUCUGUGGGUUCGAGCCCCACGUUGGGCU